GUAGGGGGCCAGCGUUGCUCGGAAUUACUGGGCGUAAAGGGUUCGUAGGCGGUGUGGCAAGUCGGAAGUGAAAUCUCCAGGCUUAACUUGGAGGCUGCUUCCGAAACUGCCGUGCUAGAGUGCGGGAGGGGCGAGUGGAAUUGCAGGUGUAGCGGUGAAAUGCGUAGAUGUCUGCAGGACCACCCGUGGCGAAGGCGGCUCGCUGGCCCGCAACUGACGCUGAGGAACGAAAGCUAGGGGAGCAAACAGGAUUAGAUACCCUGGUAGUCCUAGCCCUAAACGAUCAGGACUUGGGGUGCAUCCCGUUGGGGGUGCGUCCCGUAGCUAACGCGUUAAGUCCUGCGCCUGGGGAGUAUGGUCGCAAGGCUG
rnacentral:rRNA from 1 species